rnacentral:rRNA from 1 species
GACGAACGCUGGCGGCGUGCUUAACACAUGCAAGUCGAACGGAAAGGCCUUUUCGGAGGUACUCGAGUGGCGAACGGGUGAGUAACACGUGGGUGAUCUGCCCUGCACUCUGGGAUAAGCCUGGGAAACUGGGUCUAAUACCGGAUAGGACCGCACUUUAGAGUGUGUGGUGGAAAGUUUUUUCGGUGUAGGAUGAGCCCGCGGCCUAUCAGCUUGUUGGUGGGGUAAUGGCCUACCAAGGCGGCGACGGGUAGCCGGACUGAGAGGUUGGUCGGCCACAUUGGGACUGAGAUACGGCCCAGACUCCUACGGGAGGCAGCAGUGGGGAAUAUUGCACAAUGGGCGCAAGCCUGAUGCAGCGACGCCGCGUGGGGGAUGACGGCCUUCGGGUUGUAAACUCCUUUCGCCAGGGACGAAGCGUUUUGUGACGGUACCUGGAGAAGAAGCACCGGCUAACUACGUG